GUGAUGUCAUAGCGGCCGCUGUAACAGAAGUGAUGUUGCUGGGAUAACACACAGGCCGUGGUAUGGUUCCUGUCAGUAUUGAAAUGGUGAGGGUGGAUGACUUCAACCUACAGAACUACAACCACACUACAACUUCAUUCAUUCCAAUCCCUUUUAAGAGUCCACGGUUCUUUUAGCUACAGUUAGUUUUAGUUAAUGUAUUAGUGGCAAUAGAACUAGUCCCACUGUGUAUUAUUUUAAUUCUACUGAAAGCUCAACAAGCAGAAAAACAGCUAGCCAAACACUUCCUUUAAAAUAAAAAGCACCAAGAAUACGAAAGUGAAGUGAUUGCGAAACAAAAAUGGAACUAGAGUCAGUGUCCAUCAGGUGAAUGAAGCAGAGUGGAAGCACUACAAAUAAACUGGUAUCAUUCUUUCUCUUUGAAA